rnacentral:rRNA from 1 species
UACGUAGGCAGCGAGCGUUGUUCGGAAUUACUGGGCGUAAAGGGUGCGUAGGCGGGUUUUUAAGUCAGGGGUGAAAUCCUGGAGCUCAACUCCAGAACUGCCUUUGAUACUGAAGAUCUUGAGUCCGGGAGAGGUGAGUGGAACUGCGAGUGUAGAGGUGAAAUUCGUAGAUAUUCGCAAGAACACCAGUGGCGAAGGCGGCUCACUGGCCCGGUACUGACGCUGAGGCACGAAAGCGUGGGGAGCAAACAGG